UUUCAGCUUUCUCCUGCCAGUUACCUCUAUCUCAGGCAAUAUGUUUACACUAUUUCUUGGUUUUUUCCAUGACUGUUACACUAGGAAAUUAGAAUUUUCCUCUCUUAUGCCCUCUGUACACUCAGCCCCCCCAGGCAGAUGUAUGAUAAGUUGUGGUAAGAUCAAUAUUCAACAGUCACUGUUUCAUCUGUGUAAAUGUUACUCCAUGAGCUGUAUUUAUCUUCUUGUGCAACUGGGUUGCUGUAUGUUAAUAAUUUUCCUGUGUUUGUUUUGUUUUGAGACAGGGUCUCACUAUGUAGUCCUGGCUGGCCUUGAACUCAUUAUGCUGCUUAGGCUGGCCUUGAACCCUCCGAGAUCCUCGUGCCUCGGCCUCCUGAGUGUUGGGAUUGCAGGUGUGCACCACCAUGUCCGGCCGUCUUGGUUUUCUAAGCAUCUCUCUGCUUCAUCACUGAGCGCCCAUGAGUUGCUUCUCUACUGCUCCAACCCAUGCGGGUGUUUCUAAGUCAUAAGCCUGAGCUGGAACUUGGGAUCCUCCUGCCUCAGCCUCCUAGAGCUGGGAUUAUAGACCUGCACUACCAUGCUAAGCUUUUGGUGCCCUCCCCACCACCACCACCAUGGGUCCAACUCAGGACCUUGCACUUGUGAGGUAUAUCCUGGAAGACUGAAAUCACAGAAAAUGGGCUGACAUUUGCUCUAGGAGCCACGAGUCAGUCUUUCCUGGCGAACAGUUCAGGUGCAUUCCACAGCUGGCUGAGUGCAAUGUCCGUGUCCACGAGGCUAAGGCAGUUGGCAGUCACUGACACCAUCUCAUCUCCAAGUCUACUCCAUCCUUAGUACAGUUAGUGUUUGCUGUCUCCUCCUGUCCUUUCACUUUGUUUUUAAUGUGAAUUUAGUAUUUCUUUGCUGUUCUUCCUUGAACUGGGGUGUGUGGUGCACUUACCAUUAAGUUAAUUCAGUGAAUAUCUUUGGUUUAUUCCUGGGAGGGAAAGUGGCUUUUGUUUAUAUUUGCUCUUGCCAUUUGUUCCUACUUCACUUGAGUUUAUUAGUUAUUCCUUUCUGCCUUCCUUGAGUUAAUCAAAUAUUUUUCACAGUUCCAUUUUGAUUUUUCUAGCAGCUUGAGCUAUACCUCUGCAUUAUUGCUUCUGGUUACUCUGGGGCAUUGGUGGCAACCCUGUGGUAUGAGUGCAACAGCGGGCUGUAUCAUUGAAAGCUCUAAAAGGUUUGUCAUCGCUGUUCUAGGGAUUACAAUAUGUAUCUUUUUCAAAAUCUAAUUAGUAUUAUGCUACUUUACACCAAAAUUAGUAACUUUUAACAGUGUAAUCCCAUUUUCCCAGUCCAUAUAAAACACAACCCUGGAUAGCAUGUAGAGUCUCACAGCUAAUUAAAAACUAGUUAGUAUGCAGAUAUGGCUGUUUUUAAGUCAGUAUGAAACAGUCUGGGACCUCGAGCAAACCCCACCAGUUAGCAAUGAAAGAGAUUUGGCCAAAGCACCCAGCAGUAUUCAUUUAAAAGCUUCAUUUGGAGACAUUCUACAUGCAGUCAUUCGGUGAUGCAUCCAGCACAGGGAGGCUGCUAACAGUGCAUCCUGCAAACCUUUCAAUCCUUUCAGAGUAAGAAAAGCCCAAAGGAUGGAUGGAACAUCUGAAUGGUCCCUGAGGUCUGUUUUGUUUCCCUGCUGGCUUAGCAGUCAGUCAUCAUGGAGACCUCAGUGUUAAAUGUCACCCAAACGCCCUCACCCCAGAGACAGGAGGAGGCAUACCACAUGUCCUCAGGCAGUCACAGCAUCCUCCUCCAGUCCAUUCUUUAGGACAGCUGAGCUCCCUGACAAGGUGAAAGGAACAAAGUACUAAGAUGAUGAAAGCUGUAUCACCAAGUCCUCCUGAGUGUGAGCAUCAUGCCCUGGUUCCCGUGCACUUGGUGAGGCUGCAACCAGGAGGCUAGGUACGAUGCCCACUUCUGAGCUGAGCAGACAGGAAGGGUGAAUUCCCAGAACCUGCUGUCAGGAACAAGCAUCAGAGCAAAGACUCUAGCUCCUGGGAGAAACUCUCCAACCUAGUUGUGUGGCUGAAAUUAGUAGGGAAAGGUGAGGAAGUUACGUCUAUCUAAGAGCAGGAGGAUUAAAAGCUGCCAACUAGGAAGGAAACUGAAAUGCUUAAAAAGUUAAAAAAAAAUUUUCAUUGUAGUCUGAUGAAUAUUUCGAAGUAUAUAGUAAGGUAUUUAACAAGGACUGGUUACCUGUGUGUAGGUUAGAGAUACUAAAGUGAUAUGGUGCGCUGUCAGCCAUAUGGGGUGCAGACUUCCUCCAAAGCAGAUCAAUAGACUUAUUGUUAAAGACAACAUGUGUAUUGAAAGUAGCAAUUUUAUUUGAGUUAAAAUUAUUUACAAAAACCCAAAGACAUACUUCAUGAAACUGGUACAAACUAUUUUUUUCCUGCCGUUGGCUUUUGCUCCAAAGAUCACAGCUGAGAAAUACUGUAUAAAAUAAAAAUAGGAUUGGAUUCAGAAAAGUACUCUACUGUUCUAAUUUCCAAUUGGUAGUAUUUACAGAAAUAUUUACAGUGG